AAAGCAGAUCCAUCGACUGGUGGUUGAUAAUCAUAAACACUUUUACAAUCUGAGAGACACAUUCAACAUUUACUUCACAAAAAACGUAUCCUAUUGCUCUUGGCAUGAGAUACAAGUGGCACUUCUCAAGCAAUGGAACCUAAUUGAUGAGUACAAAACGUGUGGUUGUUUGAAUAUAACCGAUUGGAUGUUGACAGAAACGAUCAGUUCUUCUGGGCAAAUACUCUACAGACUUUCCUAUUUCCUGACUGUUAAUGACUCUAAUGUGGAAUCACUCACUGCGUCUCAUUUGGACUUUAGUGCAAUAAUGACAGCACUGGAAAACAUAACGGCAAC